rnacentral:lncRNA from 1 species
UUUCCAAAAGCUCUCGAAGAUCCCCACAUUUUUGCAUUAAUUGACGCCUUCGGCCUCUCCGAAGUGUACCAACCUCGCACUUUGGUCAAUUUGACCAAGGUUCGAAUUUAAUUACCGAGGUUUCGGUAUGUUACACGUAGCAUAGUAGAUAGCGCCCUACCACUGUGACCAGAGAUAGCAGUACCCCAAGUCGGCCUAGCUAGGGGUGUAGAAAAGAAGGAAACAAUGUUGUAAUAAUGUGGAUUGUAUUUGGAAGAAAACGAAAAUGUAAAAUGUAUAAAGCUUGUAUGUGAAUACUUGUAAUAACUUAGUUGUUUUAUGUUGUUGAU